rnacentral:rRNA from 2 species
UACGUAGGGGGCGAGCGUUGUCCGGAUUUAUUGGGCGUAAAGGGCGUGUAGGCGGCCAAGCAAGUCAGGGGUGAAAACCUGGGGCUCAACCCCGGGCCUGCCUCUGAAACUGGUUGGCUUGAGUGCUCUAGAGGGCAGUGGAAUUCCCGGUGUAGCAGUGAAAUGCGUAGAGAUCGGGAGGAACACCAGUGGCGAAGGCGGCUGCCUGGGGAGUAACUGACGCUGAGGCGCGAAAGCUGGGGGAGCAAACAGG